rnacentral:rRNA from 1 species
GGAAUAUUGGUCAAUGGCCGAGAGGCUGAACCAGCCAUGCCGCGUGCGGGAGGACGGCCCUAUGGGUUGUAAACCGCUUUUGUUGGGGAGCAAUAAGUGCCACGUGUGGCGCGAUGAGAGUACCCAGCGAAUAAGCAUCGGCUAACUCCGUGCCAGCAGCCGCGGUAAUACGGAGGAUCCGAGCGUUAUCCGGAUUUAUUGGGUUUAAAGGGAGCGCAGGCUGAUGAUUAAGCGUGACGUGAAAUGUAGCCGCUCAACGGCUGAACUGCGUCGCGAACUGGUUAUCUUGAGUGAGUUCGAUGUUGGCGGAAUUCGUGGUGUAGCGGUGAAAUGCUUAGAUAUCACGAAGAACUCCGAUUGCGAAGGCAGCCCACAAGGCCUUUACUGACGCUAAAGCUCGAAGGUGCGGGUAUCGAACA